rnacentral:lncRNA from 1 species
AGGCCAAAUUCAAGUAAGACUUAAGUUAUAUGAAUUAAAGUUCAAACAGAUUUAAAUGUUGUUCAAUUGAUUCCAUUCCAACUUAUUUACAUUGAUUUAGGCUAUAAGGAGGAUGGAACCAGACUACUUAAUGUUGAUCCACUUGAUCCAAUAUAGACUGCAGCAGUGGCAUGUUGUGUAAAUGGUUUUGCUAACACAACAAGGGGUCUGCAUGAUGACAUGGUAGUGGGCACUUGCUGAUAUGGCAGCAGACUCAAGUUAAAUAGAUUGAACCAGAUCAAUUAAGGCCGGUCCACUUAGAUCCAAUAUAGACUGCAGCAGUGGCAUGUUGUGUAAAUGGUUUUGCUAACACAACAACAGGUCUGCAUGAUGACAUGGCAGUGAGCACUUGCUGAUAUAGCAGCAGACUCAAGUUAAACAGAAAUAUUUUCUUUUUCUAAUAACAAGUAUUUUAUAUUAAGUAAUGAUUAACGUCUUAUCAUAUAAACUUUAUAUAAAAAAGUUAUGGAUACCAUAAUUCCAACUUUCAUAUAUUUUCAACAUGUAAAACAUAAUAUAUAAACCUUUUUUUCUUUUAUAACAGGAUGCACAAUAUACACACACACAAAUACAUACAUACAAGGUGGAUCACAUCUGCUAUCAAGUAGUAGUUGUUGUUUUAACCAAAGAUAAAACCAUACUUUAAAUGACUGAUUUACCUUUCCAAUUAUAAAACUAAUAACAAAUAUUUGAAAAUCAUACAUCAAAACUUGUCUCUAUGUUGGUUUCAUACUUAAAAAUGAUUUCUUGUAAUUAUAGGAUUCAUUCGAGUGCAUGUUUAUAUAUAUAUAUAUAUAUAUAUAUAUAGCCGAAAACAACAAGAAAACAGCCAAAUUUACAGAGACGAGAUAAAUCCUUUAAAAAGCAUGAAAAAUAACACUAAAUUUAGCAAAUCCAGAACUUGUGCAUCAAAUAGACCGUGGAUUUGAUCUGCCUCAAACCAAAAAAAUCAAUAAGCAAUAAACCUAAAGAGAAACCAUCACAGUCUUCAACCCCAACCGAAGUUUCACAAAUGCGUUAAAUUUGUCACCCAUGACCGAAUUUGGAACAUAGAAGACAAAGUUUCGAACAUAGUGGUACGUGAGCCAUAUCCGAGAAGAUCAUUUUUGUUACCACAAGAAAGAAGAAAAGGUUAAAUAUUAUAAAAUCCAAAGGAAAAAGAAAAGAAAAGCAAGCAUUUCAUCCUACGAGUGGAGGCAGGGCACCCCAUUUAUCGGUAUCCCAAUACUACAAAGAGAAGAAAAGCUAUAUACGAUCUCGUAGAGAUGGAUUGGGAAAAACACUGAC